AUUUCCACAGGACCUUUUAAAACAGAUAUAAAUGUAUACAAUUUACCUGUUCCUACCAGCACACUAAAAUCAUUUAAACCUCAAUGACUAUGGUUGGAGCUCGACCAAGCAUGUAAAUACACAUACACCAAAGUCUCCUUGGAAAGAAUUCAAAUUUGAAGCGAAGAACACAAACAAGGAUCUGCAUCCGGUGUGGAAUGAGCCUGGCUUAAAGUGAAGUUGUUGGCCUUGGAGGUUUGACCAGGUAACCCCGUGGGCAUUUGUCAAGAAGAUCCGAGCAUGCUGAGUGUGUUGUUGCCAGAGGUGACAACCAAUCAACAGGAAGCAAUGAUCAGAGAAGAAUGCCAUCCAGUCUGCUGUCAGCAUGCCAGAUUGUCCAGCCACACCGACAAUACAGUAUAAACCACUGUCCAGAAUGACCGACUUGGUAAGUGCCAGCAGCAGUGGAAGCGGAAGGACAUUUAGCCAUUCACUGCUUUGAGCUGGGUGUACUUGUGAAUUAACUGGAGUGGAAGAUUUUUGUACAUUACAUCUGCUAUGAGGCAUCAAGCCACUAUUGCCUUAAUGUCAUGCACACUAACAUAGGUGAUUUUAAUAUCUACUGUAACAGAUUUAUUUUUUGCUUAGUAACACCACUUGUCUUUUGCAGUUCCUGUCCUUGUGUCUGCUCCUGCAUCCCUGGAAACAUCAACAACUAUUUCACCUGUGAUAGGUUAUCAAAAUUGUCCUAGUCUGUCCUGUUAGAAUUGUCCAGGUGGGUUCGCUGGUUC